rnacentral:sRNA from 1 species
AUGAUAACGCCUUGAAAACACACAUGCACCGUCACAUGGUCCCGGGUGCCGGGGCGACAUUCGUGUCGUCGUGGUCGGAUCCAUGGGGUGUAUGGAGGCCUAAC